CGGAAAGAGAGGGAUUCGAACCCUCGGUACAAAUAACUCGUACAACGGAUUAGCAAUCCGCCGCUUUAGUCCACUCAGCCAUCUCUCCCAAUUGAAAAAAAAAAAGAUAAUUACUAUGUUACAUUACGCGUAAAGUAAGGAUUAAAAAAGUCUUUCUCUCUCUUUAUCUUUAUAUAGAAUAUAGAUAUGUACAACUUUUAUCAGCAAUUCCAUUUAGAUAAAGUAAGGACUGGAAAGAUCCAAUAUAAAGAAAAAUAAAAAUAAAGAAGACUUAUUUGCUUUGAUUUUAUUCGAAAGAGCCUUUUUUUAUUCC
rnacentral:tRNA from 1 species